GUUGUCUAAAGUGAGGAGCUAAUAGGUCAGCAGCCAGCUGUAGAAAUCCUCUGUUAACCUGUUUUUGUUGUUUCUUCUGCAGAUGUGACCAGAAUUGAAGCUAAAACUGGAGCCAGGAUCCUUCUGCCAUGUGAUGCUACCAGAUUCAAGCCCAUCAAAACUGUAGAGUGGAGCAAACCUGAUGAGGAUAACAAAUAUGUCAUUUCCUGUCCAAACCAAAAUUCAGAUCCAGUUAUCACAGAAGAUCAGUAUAAAGACAGAGUGGAGCUCGUGAACAGAACAACUGGAGAUGUGUCAAUAUAUUUACACAAUGUGAGAACUAAUGACAGUGGAACAUAUGAGUGUUAUGUCCAAGGAGGAAGAGGACGGACAAAGAGAGAGGUCAACCUCAUCAGCACCAUCCACCUGCAUGUAGCUGCUGGACAGUCUGAUCCUCCAGGGAACCAGGAUGGAAACAGAGGAGAAGGAGGGAAUCAGGAUGGAGGGAACACAGAUGAGUUGGGGGUCGGUCGAAGUCAUGCUGGCCUGUUGGUGGCUGUCUUUGCUGCAGUUUCUGUCGUUGUUUCCAUGGUGAUGAAAGCAGUUAUUAGGAGGAAGAGGACCAAGACUCCGUCUCCCCCUGAUGAUGCAGAGGAACCUCAGUUGAUCUGACUGAAAGUUGGUGUUUCUGGAUCAUCAGCCAAAGCAGAGACAACAUUGUCUUUUAAUAAGGACAUGUAAAUAUUAGCAAGAGGAACAUUUUUUAUUCUGUUCUCAUAUUUAAAGGUAAAUAUGACAAAAACUGUGAAGAUCAGUGACUUAAUGAUCAGUUUCUUUGCUUAUUGCAUCAUUAACCUGAUCAGUCAGACUGAGUCUGUGUGGCUGACUCCUGCACUAACCAUAUUCCCCUCCGUUGAAUUGCCACCUUGUCGUGGUGGAGGGGCUUUAAUGAUUCUCAUGUUCUGGGGGGUUAAUAAUGUUAGACCUGUCCCAGAACAUGAGAAUCAGACUAAGAGCAAUUCAAACACCUUAACACAUGUCUUAAUGCAGCGUGGGCUUUACAGACGGUUAAAUUAUGUAAAAUUAGAAUUGGAAAAAUGAAUAAUGUAUUUUCUCUGAGUUCUUAUUUAUACUAAUGAUGAUGUUUAAACUGCUUUAAUGCUUUAUUAUCUUCACUGCAGGUUCUGUAUAUGAUUUACAUGAUGCUAUAAAUCAGUUAUAAUACAGCUUUGAUCAGUUUUAUUGACUUAGUGUCUCUUUAUAUUUAAUCUCAGUGAGUCUAAAGUCUCAUGUUUCCAUUAUUACUCUGACCUUUAACCUGGAUGAUAAAGUUUUUCUGAGAAGGACAAAAAUGUCCUGGUUGGUCAAAUAUAAAAGAUUUUCAUUUUAUUUGUGUAAAAUAUUUCUGUAUUACAAAAUAAAAGUUUAUUUUUAUAAACUCA